AUGCCAGAAGAAUGGAGACGGAGUAUAUUAGUACCAAUCUUCAAGAACAAGGGGGAUGUUCAGAGUUGUACUAAUUACCGUGGAAUUAAGCUGAUGAGCCAUACAAUGAAGCUAUGGGAGAGAGUCAUUGAGCACCGCUUAAGAAGAAUGACAAGCGUGACCAAAAAUCAGUUUGGUUUCAUGCCUGGGAGGUCGACCAUGGAAGCCAUUUUCUUGGUACGACAACUAAUGGAGAGAUAUAGGGAGCAUAAGAAGGACUUGCAUAUGGUGUUCAUUGACUUGGAGAAGGCCUAUGAUAAGAUACCGCGGAAUGUCAUGUGGUGGGCCUUGGAGAAACACAAAGUCCCAGCAAAGUACAUUAUCCUCAUCAAGGACAUGUACAAUAAUGUUGUGACAAGUGUUCGAACAAGUGAUGUCGACACCGAUGACUUCCCGAUUAAGAUAGGACUGCAUCAGGGGUCAGGUUUGAGCCCUUAUCUUUUUGCAUUGGUGAUGGAUGAGGUCACAAGGGGUAUACAGGGAGAUAUCCCAUGGUGUAUGCUCUUUGCGGAUGAUGUGGUGCUAGUUAACGAUAGUCGGACGGGGGUAAAUAGGAAGUUAGAGUUAUGGAGACAAACCUUGGAAUCGAAAGGGUUUAGGCUUAGUAGAACUAAAACCGAGUACAUGAUGUGCGGUUUCAGUACUACUAGCUGUGAGGAGGAGGAGGUUAGCCUUGAUGGCCAGGUGGUACCUCGGAAGGACACCUUUCGGUAUUUGGGGUCAAUGUUACAGGAGGAUGGGGGUAUUGAUGAAGAUGUGAACCAUUGA
rnacentral:rRNA from 1 species